rnacentral:rRNA from 1 species
AGCGAACGCUGGCGGCAGGCUUAACACAUGCAAGUCGAACGCACGUAGCAAUACGUGAGUGGCAGACGGGUGAGGAACGCGUGGGAACAUGCCCUUCGGUUCGGAAUAACUCAGGGAAACUUGAGCUAAAACCGGAUAUCUCCGAGAGGAGAAAGAUUUAUCGCCGAAGGAUUGGCCCGCGUCUGAUUAGCUUGUUGGUGAGGUAACGGCUCACCAAGGCGACGAUCAGAGCUGGUCUGAGAGGAUGAUCAGCCACACUGGGACUGAGACACGGCCCAGACUCCUACGGGAGGCAGCAGUGGGGAAUAUUGGACAAUGGGCGCAAGCCUGAUCCAGCCAUGCCGCGUGAGUGAUGAAGGCCUUAGGGUUGUAAAGCUCUUUUGUCCGGGAAGAUAAUGACUGUACCGGAAGAA